rnacentral:rRNA from 1 species
UGGUGGAGUGAUUUGUCUGCUUAAUUGCGAUAACGAACGAGACCUUAACCUGCUAAAUAGCCAGGCCAGCUUUUGCCGGUCGCGGGCUUCUUAGAGGGACUAUCGGCUCAAGCCGAUGGAAGUUUGAGGCAAUAACA